rnacentral:rRNA from 1 species
UACGUAGGUGGCAAGCGUUGUCCGGAAUUAUUGGGCGUAAAGCGCGCGCAGGCGGUCCUUUAAGUCUGAUGUGAAAGCCCACGGCUCAACCGUGGAGGGUCAUUGGAAACUGGGGGACUUGAGUGCAGAAGAGGAGAGUGGAAUUCCACGUGUAGCGGUGAAAUGCGUAGAGAUCGGGAAGAACACCAACGGCGAAAGCACUCUGCUGGGCCGAAACUGACACUGAGAGACGAAAGCUAGGGGAGCAAAUGGG